GUCCUGUUUAUUUCACUUAAGAGUAUGGCCUCAAUAUGCAUCCAUUUAGCUAUAAAUGCCUCUAAUUUCUCAUUCUUUAUGGCUGAGUAGUACUCCAUUUUAUAAAAAAUUUUUUUUCUUUAUCCAGACUCCAGUUGAUGGGCACUUGGGCUGUUUCCAAGCUUUUGCUAUUAUGAACUGUGUCACUAUAAACAUGGGGCCAGUGGGGAAGGCUGGAGAGAGACACAUGCUUCCUGACCAUCCCGAAUCGGCGUCGAGAGCUCUGAGAUGAACUCUGCGGAAGCUGGUGAUUCUCACAGUGCUGGGACGGCCUCCCUCAGCCCGAGCCAGAUCCUGUGUUCCCUCGAUAGCGCGAGUUUCCGCCAUACGCUGUUUGACAGUGGGCAGCUUUGUAAAACCUACUCACGCCCAGUGCUGCCCGAGGCAUUCACAUACGCACGUUUUCUAGAGGACACAUUGAAAACAGGCGGAAGAAAACAGGCGGAAUUAAUAGUAUUUAACCCCAUGUAGGUAUCAAAUGUUGUGAAUGAGUUUUGACAUUCAUGUCACUCUCCUCUGUCCUAUGUCUUGGACACUGUGUGUCCUUUAUACUCUCAGCACCUCUUAUGUUGGACGGGUCACUUCUGAAGGCCUUGGGGUGACCCAGGGCUGUACACUGCAGUCUACCCCUGCCUGUCGGCUAGCAGUUUGCAUAACUGGUAUUAAAUACAGGUACAUGUAUAUAAAUGCCGUGCUGGAAGUUGAACACAGGACCUUGGGCAAGCUGGGCAAAUGCUCUACCCCUGAGCGACAGCCCAGCCUCACUGUAUUUUAGUGAGACCAGGUUUUGCCGAGUGGCCCAGGGUGGUCUCUCAGCUGAAAUCCACCUGCCUCAGCCCUCCAGAGGGCUGGGAUUGCAGCUGUGCACCCCAGUGGUCAGUGUUAGGACUGUUUCUAAGGAAUGCUGAAGUGCCUGCAUAGCUUGGCCUAACACUAAAUUCUUCAAGUCUGCUGUAUUUUCCAGCACUUUCUUCUUCUGUAGAAGUAGAAUCCUUUACAUACAAAUUUUUUCUUUUUGGUAUCGGG
rnacentral:lncRNA from 1 species